rnacentral:rRNA from 1 species
UACAGAGGGUGCGAGCGUUAAUCGGAAUUACUGGGCGUAAAGCGCGCGUAGGCGGCUUUGCAAGUCGGGUGUGAAAUCCCCAGGCUUAACCUGGGAACUGCAUUCGAGACUGCAUUGCUAGAGUAUGGGAGAGGGAAGUGGAAUUUCCGGUGUAGCGGUGAAAUGCGUAGAUAUCAGGAGGAACACCGAUGGCGAAGGCAGGUCUCUGGGCCAUUACUGACACUGAGAAGCGAAAGCAUGGGGAGCGAACAGG